rnacentral:misc_RNA from 1 species
AGAUGCUGUGUCUCGCCGUGUACCUCUCGCGUUUCACAGAGUGAAUUUAUCACAUCCGCGACUACAAGCUACCUCGUAUCUCUUUUCCACAGUGCGCUAGCUGCAGUGCCUCUAUUGUGUGCUUCAGACGGCUCUCAUCUUGGCCUCUACUGACGACUGAGGACGCGCUUUUCUUGGCGUAACGCGACAACACAGAAUAGGCAGAAGCCGCGCUCACCCUCGUCAACGAGAACAACUCUACGCUCGCCCUUUCGCUCCUUGUCUGUCUCCUUUCCGUAUUUCUCUUGGUUGACCUUUCCUUGUGUGAAGGUGAGGGUGGCUGUUGCAAGAUAGUUUUGCUGCGCCCACUGUGCACCCGCUAGACUGAGCCCGAUUUCCCUUCCCCCUUCUUUUAUUUGCCACAGCUUGUGAGAGCAAGGCGAACCUGCACAGAGAGAGAGAGGCAACACACACAUACACACACACAGACGCCUUUCGGAACUUCUACUCUUUUCUUUGCUGCCAGAUUCGUCUUUUUUAACGUACGCCGCUUUUGACUGUCGACGAACGAGGGUCUCUGCUUGUCUUGUGUUACGCAAUCUUUAUUACGUAGGCACUGCCCGUAGUCACGCCCUUGUGCGUGUUUCUUGUUAUUUACUUUGUCCUCCUUUGUCUCGGUGUUCUUGUACUCUUUCCCGCGUUUCCUUUCGUGGUCCUUCGGUGAAUGAGCAAAUAUGAACCCAAUCGAAUAGUUUGGCAGCUCUACGAGCAUCCGCCUCGUAGUCAUCUGCACCACCCUGCACUACCGAACGGGUACCAACUCGCUUCUGUCGAAUUAUCCGCCGAUACGUCACCCUAUCCGAGCGGGAGCUUGAGCAGUAGUGGUGUCAAAGGGGAAUACCCAGCCACGACAGACAGUUUCGGCGGCUCUUCGGUUAGCGUCGUGAAGAGAGACAAUGCACUGGUACAGGACUCGCCGUUGUCACAGACGGCGCCGCCGCAGCGUAGGGCUCUCUCCACAUUGCUUCUGACGGGGUUGAUGUACACAUUUACCAUCAGCGGAGCCUACGGAAUCGAAGAAGCGGUGAUGGGCGGCGGUGUGCUCUUAACCAUCGUCUCGAUUAUUGUCAUUCCUGUGAUAAUGGGGGCUCCAAUGGUGCUGGUUGUGGCAGAGCUGGCAGCUGCGGUGCCGUCCAACGCCGGCUUCCUCAUGUGGAUCAAACUGUCGUUUCACCGGUGUGUGUACCUUUCCAUGGCAAUCAUGUCGCUCAUCUACAUCGCCGUUGACAAUGCUCUCUAUCCGACAAUGUUCUCCGAGUAUUUGUGCACAUCCAUCCGCUGCAGUGAUACGGGGGCGAAGUUUCUGCGACUGGGAAUGCUGCUCUUCACGUACGCCCUGAACAUGCUGGGUGUGGAAGCGGUUGGCGUGACGAGUGUGGUGCUGACCGUGCUCACGGUGGCCCCAUUUGUGCUCAUGUAUCUUCUGCAACAGCUGCGCACGGGCUUUUACGUGAACUGGCCAGCCGUGGCCUACAUCCCGGCAUCCGUCGAUUGGACUAGGUUUAUCUCCACCGCCUCGUGGUGCCUCUCUGGACUUGAGCAAGCUGGGACAGUCGUGGAAGAGGUCGAGGACUCGCAGCGGACCAUAAUCGGAUCUCUCAUUCCACUUAUUGGGCUUGCGGUGAUCACCUACGUACCCCCCAUCAUCGCAGGUGCCAGCGUAUCGAGAGAGCCAUUGGAUUUGUCGAAGUGGAAGACCGGCUACUGGGCGGAGGUAUCGUACCAGGUAGGCGGUAACGCUCUCAAGUUUUUUACCGUGGUGGGUGGCGUUCUCUCGGCGUUUGGGCUGACACUCUCGGCGCUGUGCACUACUACACGCAUCAUUUCGGGGAUGGCGCUCACAGAGGCCUUUCCAGGAAAGGUGGGGGUGUGGUUUUCGCGGCGCAACAAACGAUUUGGCACGUACCACUGGACACUGACCUUCAACACAGUCCUCACUGGCCUCUUCUCGACGGUGCUGGGCUUCGGUUCUUUGGUGCUGGUGGAUCAGUGCCUCUAUGGCAUUCGCGUUGUUGUAAUCUUAAUCUCGUUUUACCGCUUUCGCCAACUGUAUCCGUAUCUGCCGCGACCCUUCCGAAUUCCAUUCGACGGUUGGCGACUGCACCUCAUGAUGGGCGUGGCCUUGGCGUCGUCUGUUGCCCUCACCAUUGUUUCUCUCUUUCAGGAAAAAUUAACGGUUAUUUUAUGCGUCGCCGUCGUCGGUAGCUCCUUUCUUGUGUCAUUUUUGUAUUGCCAUUUUGUGCACCGGCACGAUUUCGCCGGCCGUAUUGUCACCUUUGUCGCGAUCCCAGUCAGCCGCCACAGCAACGAUGGCGGCAAUACGGAUGCGGCUGCGACGCGCCGUGUAUCGCCAGAGGCUCCUGCGCCCACAAGAGAAUAGAGGCCGACCAGCUAAACAACUAUGCAUUCGUGAGACUCAAAGGAGAAAAACGACGUGUGAAGAUCAGCUCUGCAACUGCCAUCGAUUUAUGCUUCCUUUUUCCAUUCGCCUUGCGCGCAGAGGUUUGCAUCGCGGAAAUGAUAUUUAGCCUCUCCCUCUUCCUCCCUCUCUCCCAUCAUCGAAGGCUUUCCUGAUCUUUUUUUUUUCGUUUUCAGAUGCUGCACUCUUCCUCAGGGGAAACGGCAGCUGCCGCGGGAACUCCGGCUCUGCAUUUCUCUCCUCUAUCGGAUGGCUGCCGAAUAGCCUUCUUUGCGUGCCCCUUGCUGAACUUUUCUGUCGACGUGAAACGAGGACCUCAAUGUGUGUGCGUGCGUGCGUGUCACGGCAUCGGAACAGGAAGCAAAUAUAGCCGGGGUCUUUUUUUGUUUGUAAAGGGAUGAAUGCCACUCCUCGUGAAUGCGUGUCCAUGUGUCUGGGGAAGCACAUGUAAAGACAACCUGUGGUGCCACUCCUGUUCGCCUUGCUCUCGAAACACUUUCUAUGUGUUUCCCUCGCGUGCGCCUGUGGCAAUGCUGCUAACCUGUGUGAUCGCUGUCUUCGACGCACAGCUGCGCUCGGCUACUCCUUGUUUGGUGAAGCUCGAUUAAACACGCAACACCGAGAGAGAAGGGGAGGAGGCAGACAACACCGAGAGGGUGAUGUGCACACGUGUGCGCGCACAUGCCCGCUCACGCUUGUGUUUGCGUGCUAUGACAGAAGCGUAUCGGUGGGUGAUGCGGGGCUACAGGAGCGCCGUACCCUAGUGCCUUAUCUUUUCCCUGACCGUCACCACAGCUACGAUGACACGAGAGGUGUGUCGCCGGGAGGGGGCUCGGGGAAGAAGGCGGGAUUGCCAGCAAUGCAGUGCAUCGCAAGGCGGUGACAAAGAACUAUGUGAAGGGUGACGUUGCCAAAGCAGCGUGUACGCAGCGUGCGUUCAAUCCACCCGCCCCUUCCUCUCUCCCGGCGAAGCCAUCAAAACCCCCUGGCAGCUGCGAUCUUGGAGAGGGUAGGUGAGGGGGGAGGGGUAGGAUUGCACUUCCAGCCCCCCUCUCUCUCAUAGCUCGAUAGGGGGCGAGGGAGCCUACGAGAAACGUGAGCGAAUACCCAAACAACACAAAGGAAUCAUAAAGAGGUUUGAGACCUCGUUUUGCCUCUUCUUCCUCGUACGCUGCAAGGCAACACCCCAAGCAAAAGAAUAUGCGGUAUGCCACUGACCACUUAUGCGGUAUGGUUGCGUUGCCGCUCGGGCGGAAUAAGAGGUGCCCAGAGGGCAUGCAGGAGAACAUAACUGCACUGGUAUCGGCGCGCAGACAUGAGUUCUCUUCUGUGCUGCUGUCGUCCGUGUCGCGCAGGCACACACACACACACACACACACACACACUGUUCUUCUUUGCACCUCCCUUUUUUUUUGUGGUCACGUUUUCCCAUCAUCGCCAUGAAAACACACGCACACACACGGCACGCAUGGGUGCCGCUCUGAUUUAUUGCAAAAG